UUUUUGGCAGGAGUGGGGGGGGGGGGACUAAUCAAUUACAUUGACCCCAGUGUUCAACUGGUACUUAUUUUUGUCAACCCCGAAAGGAUAAAAGGUGAAGCUGACCUUGGCAGUGUUUGAAUUCAGAACAUAAAAAGCCAGAAGAAAUAUCACAAAGCAUUUCGGCUGAUUUGCUACCCAUUCUGCCAGCUCACUGCCUUAUAACAACAACAAAUAUUUAACAAAUCUUAAGAAAAUAAUCUUUUUUUCUUCUUAUAUAUGUGUGUCGAGUGUUAUAGCAGAAAUCUUGAUAAACAUGGAAUGAACUAAUACUGAGAGCAACAUAUUGAAAUAUGAUUACUGAAAGGAACAGACACUGAAAAUAAAAACCAUUUCAGUUUCCUUUCUACUUUUAAUUGCAAACCUGGGACUCAGCAACAAGAAAAUAUCAACAGGUAAAGAGAGAGAGAAAGAGAGAGAUAGACAGACAGACAGACAGAGACUGAGAGGCAGGUGAGAAAAGAUAAAGGGAGACAACCUAUUAAAGAUGAAGUUUCCAACAAAUGACAAUGGAAUGCCAUUUAGAAAAAAAACAACAGCAGAAGAAUGAAGGAAUUUACCUGACAACUCAAUAAAUAAAUAUACCUACAUAUAUAUAUACAUAUAUAUAUAUAUACAUAUAUAUAUGUAUGCAUACAUAUACAUACAUCAAUAAAAAUACGCUAUGCAUUGGGUUGUUGGAUUAAAUUCACUCGUUUAUUUCCAAUGUUCUUUGGAUUAACACAAAAUAUAUUUUAUUGUUCUUUCUUUUUUUCUUUUUCUGUAGUCCACUUCUUCCUCUACAGGUUUUGUUUAUCAUUUUUUGAAAUUCGAAUCAGACUUUUAUGAUGAUGGUGUACCGAGUAGAAAAGAAAACAAACAAACAAACAAACAAACAAAAAGAAAAACCUGACCGAAUUCACCUGACAACCCGGUUCCAUCUGGAUGAUGUAGUAGCUACAGCAUGGCCAUGCCAACUCAGGUCAAGCACUGAAUUACAUCAUCAAAUAAUAAAUAGGAAACACAAGCUACAAUAUGCUACUUUUAGCUUCCA